GGCUGAUCUGAAGGUGGUGAGUUAUCUCGAUUGUUCACAGCCAGUUACAGCUUGAACUCCUUGUUCAAAUCUUUCUCCUCUUCUCAUACUGUACUUGACUAAUCCUCA
rnacentral:Y_RNA from 1 species